rnacentral:rRNA from 1 species
AGGACGAACGCUGGCGGCGUGCUUAACACAUGCAAGUCGAACGGAAAGGCCCGCUUGCGGGUACUCGAGUGGCGAACGGGUGAGUAACACGUGGGCAACCUGCCCUCAGCUUCGGGAUAACAUUUGGAAACAGGUGCUAAUACCGGAUAAUAACCUUUCAUCGCAUGGUGUGGGGUUCAAAGUUUUUCGGCUGGGGAUGGGCCCGCGGCCUAUCAGCUUGUUGGUGGGGUAAUGGCCUACCAAGGCGACGACGGGUAGCCGGCCUGAGAGGGCGACCGGCCACACUGGGACUGAGACACGGCCCAGACUCCUACGGGAGGCAGCAGUGGGGAAUAUUGCGCAAUGGGCGGAAGCCUGACGCAGCGACGCCGCGUGAGGGAUGACGGCCUUCGGGUUGUAAACCUCUUUCAGCUCUGACGAAGCGCAAGUGACGGUAGGAGCAGAAGAAGCACCGGCCAACUACGCGCCAGCAGCCGC